rnacentral:rRNA from 1 species
AUUGAACGCUGGCGGCAUGCCUUACACAUGCAAGUCGAGCGGCAGCGCGGGGGCAACCCUGGCGGCGAGCGGCGAACGGGUGAGUAAUGCAUCGGAACGUGUCCUCUUGUGGGGGAUAACCAGUCGAAAGACUGGCUAAUACCGCAUGAGCUCGCAAGAGGAAAGCAGGGGACCCGCAAGGGCCUUGCGCGAGAGGAGCGGCCGAUGCCGGAUUAGCGAGGUGGUGGGGUAACGGCCCACCAAGGCGACGAUCCGUAGCUGGUCUGAGAGGACGACCAGCCACACUGGGACUGAGACACGGCCCAGACUCCUACGGGAGGCAGCAGUGGGGAAUUUUGGACAAUGGGCGCAAGCCUGAUCCAGCCAUGCCGCGUGUGUGAAGAAGGCCUUCGGGUUGUAAAGCACUUUCGGACGGAACGAAAUCGCGCGGGCGAAUAUCCCGCGUGGAUGACGGUACUGUAAGAAGAAGCACCGGCUAACUACGUGCCAGCAGCCGCCGUAACAC